GUUUCGAGUUUGGGUGGUCUAUUGCCUAAAGUUCCGUUUUUUGAUGCCAGUUGUGACUUCUUGAUGAGGAAACAACCAUUGGGGCAAAUGCAGCAACAAGUCAAUUUGCUGCCUGCUCAACAGUUUCAGCCGAAGCCAUUAAUUGUACCUAAGCUUGAGGCAGCUGGUGGUGGUGGUAAUGGUAAUUUGAUGGUGCCUCGUCAUCAACUGCAGGAACAACAAUUUAUUUAUGACCAGAUUUUUCAGGCCUCAGAACUAUUGCUGGCCGGACAAUUCUCAAACGCGCAAUUGAUAUUGGCGCGGCUCAAUCAACAGCUUUCUCCCAUUGGGAAACCCUCAAGGAGGGCUGCUUUUUAUAUCAAGGAGGCUCUGCAGUUGCCUUUCCUUGUGCCUUGCACAUCCACUUUUUUGCCUCCAAGAAGUCCCACCCCAUUUGAUUGUGUGCUUAAGAUGGAUGCUUAUAAGUCCUUCUCCGAAAUAUCUCCACUUAUCCAGUUCAUGAAUUUCACCUCCAAUCAGGCUAUUCUUGAAGCUCUUGGGGAUGCUGAGCAAAUUCACAUAAUAGAUUUUGACAUCGGUUUUGGUGCUCAAUGGUCCUCGUUUAUGCAAGAACAAGUCAAUUUGCUGCCUGCUCAACAGUUUCAGCCGAAGCCAUUAAUUGUACCUAAGCUUGAGGCAGCUGGUGGUGGUGGUAAUGGUAAUUUGAUGGUGCCUCGUCAUCAACUGCAGGAACAACAAUUUAUUUAUGACCAGAUUUUUCAGGCCUCAGAACUAUUGCUGGCCGGACAAUUCUCAAACGCGCAAUUGAUAUUGGCGCGGCUCAAUCAACAGCUUUCUCCCAUUGGGAAACCCUCAAGGAGGGCUGCUUUUUAUAUCAAGGAGGCUCUGCAGUUGCCUUUCCUUGUGCCUUGCACAUCCACUUUUUUGCCUCCAAGAAGUCCCACCCCAUUUGAUUGUGUGCUUAAGAUGGAUGCUUAUAAGUCCUUCUCCGAAAUAUCUCCACUUAUCCAGUUCAUGAAUUUCACCUCCAAUCAGGCUAUUCUUGAAGCUCUUGGGGAUGCUGAGCAAAUUCACAUAAUAGAUUUUGACAUCGGUUUUGGUGCUCAAUGGUCCUCGUUUAUGCAAGAACUUCCAAGUAGCAGUAGAAAGGCAACUUACCUGAAGAUUACAGCUU
rnacentral:lncRNA from 1 species